rnacentral:tRNA from 1 species
UCUAAAAUGGCAGAAUAGUGCCCUGGAUUUAAGCCCCAGAUAUAAAAUUUAAUUUUUUUUAGAA